rnacentral:tRNA from 1 species
GCGGAGCUGGCCCAGCGGGUGGCCUGGCGCGCCGGGACCGCGCUGGGCAGCCGGGACGAUGCCGAGGACGUGCCGAUCCCGGCGUCGGUCCCGGA